CCGUGACACCAGGUCAAUGAUCAUAUUUAAGUGGCUGUUUAGCGAUGGUUUGUGAAUGGUACAUUUGUUAUAGUGAUGUUGUUGGUACUUUUUUCUUUACAGGUUAAUAUCAGUAUAAUGUCACUACAGAAUGGCUGCACAAAACCACAACAAGGGAAAACGAUCCCGUUAUUCACGAAUCCACUUGUAAAUGCAAGUGAAACCCUCAUUAUGGCUGAAAUUUUUUUUAAAGACUUUAAUAAAGUCAUGGAGGAAGGACCCUAUGUACUUCUGUACCCAGAUGGCACAGAGGUCAUUAACGUUCCUAUGACCCCAAGGCCCUUUACACUGAAGGACUAUAAAAUAGAAAUUGGAAAACCUUAUGCAAGGAUAAAUUUGUUUCUUUGCAGAAGGAAGGACUUUGGAGGAGAACAGGAAGUCAGUUCAGAAUCAGACACAGAAGUUAUCAUAAGGACACCAAAUCCUGAGUGAUCUAAGCUGGCUGACACACUGCCUUUGCAUACAGUACAAGCACAUCUGAAAAAUGUAAGGAUAAUAAAAUUGAUUGUGCUCCAUGAAGUGAAGUGCAGUUUUAAGACAAUACUCUCAGAUACAGAGGAUGACCAACCAGGUACUUCAGCUCAUGUUACAGCAGAAAACCACUGUUAGAGAGAAUACAUGGACAUUUAUGCACUUGUGAUUACUGAAGAGGACGAUGAGUUUGAAACUACAGCACACUGUCUUGACGUCCCAGAACCAAUAGAGUAAGCUGCAAAACACUUCAGAACCAUCAAAGUGUUUUGGCUCCUUUCCUUUCCCACACUGAGAAGAAGCUGACAGCAACUGAUUUGGAAAACCUCUUCAAAGCAGAACUCAGCCCAGAAGGUUGCAACCAGGGGCCAAAAGAAUCCAAGACACUUUGCUUUUUGUCAGACUAUCUCCUCGACUGUGAAGAACAUCAGACUGAAGUGUCAUUGAAGAACGUACUUAUGUUUGCUACCGGCCUGUCUUCACUUCCUCCUGCUGGAAUUAUACCACGUCCUUGCAUUGUGUUUCUGGCCAGUUCACCCUUCCCAAUGGCAAAUACAUGUGCAAACACCCUCAAGUUACCACACUUGGACACCUACUGUCUUUUUCAGGCUCAAAUGGAUUUUGGAAUCCAGAACUCUCCAGGUUUUGGAUGUAUUUAAAUAGCCAUAUGUGAAAAUGUUGAAUUUUAAUGGCAUCAAUUUCACAUCCUGAGUUAUCAUGCGAUAAAAAUCUAAAAAAAAAAAAAAAAAAAAGUCAGAUUUUAAAACAAUAGUUUUUUCCCCCCAAUUUUGCUGCAGUUUGCUUUAGUUAAUUAUUAUCAGUUUUUUUUACUCAAUUUAUAUUCAUACUUUAGUUUUAUCCUCAUUUCCAAGACUGUUUUUGAAUUAUGAAGAGACUUAUGCAGGCCAUGGGCAACUUUAAAGUCUCUCUUGCUCUUCUGAUUCUAACCUGACAGCUCCUUUGUAGACAGUCCAUUAGUUUUAAUAACGUGUUGAGAAUUUGUAGGUCUUUGUUUUUAAUUAUGAUACACAUUUGUCAUGUUUUUUAUUACCACAAUAUUCAUGAUGUGAAAUUGACACAUACAGUGUUUUUCUUAGUUGUUCUUAGGUUGUACUCUGGUUCCUAUAUGUUAUUUAUUUAU